rnacentral:rRNA from 1 species
UACGUAGGGUGCGAGCGUUAAUCGGAAUUACUGGGCGUAAAGCGUGCGCAGGCGGUUUGCUAAGAGAGAUGUGAAAGCCCCGGGCUUAACCUGGGAACUGCGUUUCUAACUGGCAAGCUUGAGUGUGGCAGAGGGGGGUGGAAUUCCACGUGUAGCAGUGAAAUGCGUAGAGAUGUGGAGGAACACCGAUGGCGAAGGCAGCCCCCUGGGCUAACACUGACGCUCAUGCACGAAAGCGUGGGGAGCAAACAGG